ACUUACGGCAACACCGGCCUGAGUACGCCUGAUCUCGUCCGAUCUCGGAAGCUAAGCAGGGUCGGACCUGGUUAGUACUUGGAUGGGAGACAGCCUGGCAAUACCAGGUGCUGUAAGCU
rnacentral:rRNA from 1 species